rnacentral:rRNA from 1 species
ACUGAACGCUGGCGGAAUGCUUUACACAUGCAAGUCGAACGCAGCACGGACUUCGGUCUGGUGGCGAGUGGCGAACGGGCGAGUAAUACAUCGGAACGUGCCCAAUCGUGGGGGAUAACGUAGCGAAAGCUACGCUAAUACCGCAUACGAUCUAAGGAUGAAAGCGGGGGAUCGCAAGACCUCGCGCGAUUGGAGCGGCCGAUGGCAGAUUAGGUAGUUGGUAGGGUAAAGGCCUACCGAGCCGACGAUCUGUAGCUGGUCUGAGAGGAUGAUCAGCCACACUGGGACUGAGACACGGCCCAGACUCCUACGGGAGGCAGCAGUGGGGAAUUUUGGACAAUGGACGCAAGUCUGAUCCAGCCAUUCCGCGUGCAGGAUGAAGGCCCUCGGGUUGUAAACUGCUUUUGUACAGAACGAAAAGGCUCUGGUUAAUACCUAGGGCUCAUGACGGUACUGUAAGAAUAAGCACCGGCUAACUACGUGCCAGCCGCCGCGGUAA